rnacentral:rRNA from 1 species
UCCAGACUCCUACGGGAGGCAGCAGUGAGGAAUAUUGGUCAAUGGGCGGGAGCCUGAACCAGCCAAGUCGCGUGAGGGAUGACGGCCCUAUGGGUUGUAAACCUCUUUUGCCGGGGAGCAACGGGGUCCUUGCGAGGGCCCGAUGAGAGUACCCGGAGAAAAAGCAUCGGCUAACUCCGUGCCAGCAGCCGCGGUAAUACGGAGGAUGCGAGCGUUAUCCGGAUUUAUUGGGUUUAAAGGGUGCGUAGGCGGGAUGCCAAGUCAGCGGUAAAAUGCGGGGGCUCACCCUGCGUCCGCCGUUGAAACUGGCGUUCUUGAGUGGGCGAGAAGUACGCGGAAUGCGUGGUGUAGCGGUGAAAUGCAUAGAUAUCACGCAGAACCCCGAUUGCGAAGGCAGCGUACCGGCGCCCGACUGACGCUGAAGCACGAAAGCGUGGGUAUCGAACAGGAUUAGAUACCCGUGUGC